rnacentral:sRNA from 1 species
GAUAAAUAGAAAUGGGUUAAACCAUUUCACACGCGAAAACUGGGGAGGUAUUCGAUUAAAGCGCGGUUAUCUGCAGCUACCGUUAUUGGAAUAAUCGACGCGUAUUUUUAUUAAAGCAAGGCUCUUAGCCUUGCUUUUUUUG